CAGUAGCCGCGGUAAGACAGAGGAUGCAAGCGUUAUCCGGAAUGAUUGGGCGUAAAGGGCUCGCAGGCGGUUUCUUAAGUCUGAUGUGAAAGCCCCCGGCUCAACCGGGGAGGGUCAUUGGAAACUGGGAAACUUGAGUGCAGAAGAGGAGAGUGGAAUUCCACGUGUAGCGGUGAAAUGCGUAGAGAUGUGGAGGAACACCAGUGGCGAAGGCGACUCUCUGGUCUGUAACUGACGCUGAGGAGCGAAAGCGUGGGGAGCGAACAGGAUUAGAUACCCCCGUAGUCCCUGUCUCUUAUAU
rnacentral:rRNA from 1 species